rnacentral:rRNA from 1 species
GACGAACGCUGGCGGCGUGCUUAACACAUGCAAGUCGAACGGUAAGGCCCUUCGGGGUACACGAGUGGCGAACGGGUGAGUAACACGUGGGUGAUCUGCCCUGCACUUCGGGAUAAGCCUGGGAAACUGGGUCUAAUUCCGGAUAGGACCACUGCCUGCAUGGGUGGUGGUGGAAAGCUUUUGCGGUGUGGGAUGGGCCCGCGGCCUAUCAGCUUGUUGGUGGGGUGAUGGCCUACCAAGGCGACGACGGGUAGCCGGCCUGAGAGGGUGACCGGCCACACUGGGACUGGGAUACGGCCCAGACUCCUACGGGAGGAAGCAGUGGAGAAUAUUGCGCAAGGGGCGAAAGCCUGAUGCAGCGGCGCCGCGUGAGGGAUGACGGCCUUCGGGUUGUAAACCUCUUUCAGCACCGACGAAGCGCAAGUGACGGUAGGUGCAGAAGAAGGACCGGCCAACUACGUGCCAGCCGCCGCCGUAA